rnacentral:lncRNA from 1 species
CCCUAACUGUGUCGACUUUGGCCUCUGAUUGCCCGCAUCUCAGCCCCCAGCCCAGCCCCAUGGGCAGCUAUGUAGAGCCAUGACGCCCCAAGGCGCCUGCCCUUGCGCCCACAUGAUCUCAAGCCAGGCCAUGCUCCCGGGGGGUCAGACAGCCCAGGCCACACACACCUGGCCCCACCACAGCCAGACCACAGACCAGACAUGACGUGGAGGCAAGCGGCCGCGGCCGGCAUGGGCAGGAAGUGGGCGAGAGACCCCAUCUGUGGGCCAGACACAGGCAUGCAGCCCCUCCCAGCCUGCCCCUCACAGCAUCAGCCUCACCCCCACAGGGGGCAAAUGGUCCAGAGCGGGACAGCGGUCUACUGAGGACUCGCAGCCAUUGAGGCAGGGCCUGGAGGAGGCCUGGGCCACCCUCUCCUCUCCAGCUUCUCUGGGGUAGGUGAGCAGACGGACCUGCAGCCCAGGGCCACCAGGCCGAGGUAGGCAGAGGUCUCUCUCAGCCAUGCUGGACCCUCCAGCAGCCUUGAGCAGGUGGGUCCCGGAUGCUAUUCAGGCUUCAUCUCCUUCUCAGCCAGGCCAUACGGAGCAGCCAAGGACCAGGAGAAUGGAGAACGGACACCAAGACAGAGAAAGAGAGAAGGCGGACUACCAGAGAUCCCAGAGACCACGGGGCAGGAGGCUAGGCCUGGGCAGGGGUAUGCUGGACUUAGGCAGAACUGGGAGGAGGUGAUCGGGGCUGAACUUAAUGGGGCUGAGCUGGGAUGAACUGGGCUGAGCUGAGCUGAACUAGGCUGAACUGGACUGAGCCGACUGGGGCGAAACUGGGCUGAGCUGGGCUAACUGGGAUGAGCUAAACUGAACGUGGCUGAGCUGGGCUAACUGCACUGAGCCGGGCUAAUCAGGCUGGGCUGGGCUGAGCUGGGCUAAUCAGGCUGAGCUGGGCUGAGCUCAGCUGAGUUGAGCUGAGCUGGGCUAAUCGGGCUGAGCUCAGCUGAGUUGAGCUGAGCUGGGCUGAAGUGGCCUGAGCUGGGCUAAUUGGGCUGAACUGAGCUGAGCUGGGCUAAGGUGAACUGGGCUGAGCUGGGCUAACUGCGCUGGGCUGAGCUGGGCUAAUCAGGCUGAGCUGGGCUGAGCUCAGCUGAGUUGAGCUGAGCUGGGCUGAAGUGGCCUGAGCUGGGCUAAUUGGGCUGAACUGAGCUGAGCUGGGCUAAGGUGAACUGGGCUGAGCUGGGCUAACUGCGCUGGGCUGAGCUGGGCUAAUCAGGCUGAGCUGGGCUGAGCUCAGCUGAGUUGAGCUGAGCUGGGCUGAACUGGCCUGAGCUGGGCUAAUUGGGCUGAACUGAGCUGAGCUGGGCUAAUUGGGCUGAACUGAGCUGAGCUGGGCUAAGGUGAACUGGGCUGAGCUGGGCUAACUGCGCUGGGCUGAGCUGAGCUGGACUAACUGGGCUAGGCUGAGCUGAACUGGGCUGGGCUGAGCUGAACUGGGCUGAGCUGGGCUAACUGCACUGAGCUCAGCUGGGCUGAGCUGGGCUAACUGAGCUGGGCUAACUGAGCUGGGCUGGGCUGGGCUGGGCUGAGCUGGGCUAACUGAGCUAGGCUGAGCUGGGCUAACUGAGCUGAGCUGGGCUAACUGAGCUAGGCUGAGCUGGGCUAACUGAGCUGAGCUGGGCUAACUGAGCUGGGCUGUGCUGUGCUGAGCUGGGCUCAGCUAGGCAGAGCUGGGCUAACUGCGCUGGGCUGGGCUGAGCUAGGCUGAGCUAGGCUGAGCUGGGCUAACGGAGCUGGGCUGGGCUGAGCUGGGCUAACGGAGCUGGGCUGAGCUGAGCUGGGCUGAGCUAGGCUGAGCUGGGCUAACUGGGCUGGGCUGAGCUGAACUGGGCUGAGCUGGGCUGGGCUGAGCUGACUGAAUUGGGCUGAGCUGGGCUGGGCUGAACUGGGCUAAUCAGGUUGAGCUGAGCUGAACUGGGCUGAGCUGAGCUAACUGAGCUGAGCUGAGCUUGGCUGGCUGGGCUGAGCUAGGCUGAGCUGGGCUAACUGGGCUGAGCUGAGCUGGGCUGAGCUAACUGAAUUGGGCUGGGCUGGGCUGAGCUGGGCUUGCUGGGCUGAGCUGGGCUAACUGGGCUGAAUUGGGCUGAACUCAGCUGAGCUGGGCUAUGCUGGCCUGUGAGCUGAACUGAGGUGAUCUGGGUUAAGUUGCGCUGAAGUGGGCUGAUCUGGCCUGAGCUGGGUGAGGUGAAUGGGAAGGGGUUGGUCGGGAUGGAGCCCCACCUCAGGGUCCUGGUCUCCAGCCAGCCUGUUGACCCUGUUUCUUGGGGACCCAUGGGUCAGGCAGCCUCAGGGUGCAUCCGUGAUGCUCUCUCCCCCUUCACCAGUUGCCCUGAUGGGAACGGAAAGUACAAGUGGGCAGACCACGCCCUGUGUAGCCCAGCCUGCCCGGGCGGACAUCCCAGAAGGACUGAUUUAGAUUUGGGCCUUUGGCCUCGAAACUCCUGUAGGCCACAGAGGUCGACUUGGAGUUUGUUAGGGCCUGGGGUGGGAGGAGAGUGGUGGGUGGUUGGACUGGGACCUGGACUGGGGAAAUGGGAGAAGGCACAGAAGGCACAGGCCCCCUCUCCUCCCCAGAGUCACCUCCAGCACAGGCUCAGCUUCAAGUCAGAGCACUCUGUCAUCACCUGUGCCCUGCCAGGGGCCCAACCCCUCACGCCCCUGAGCCCUAGGGGAGGGUAUGGCUGUGCCGCCACCCAGACAGGAGCUGGGGCUCCGGCAGCAGUGGGAGAGCCAUGUGUGAUAACUACAACUUCUGCUGGGAGUGGCCUGUGCCAGAGGCCCUGUCCAAGGAGCGUGUCUGGGUCCACGUGCUAGAACUCUGAGGAGUGUGUUCAAAAACAGUGCAGCUGGACUCAGGAGGGUGGGUCCAACCCCAGGUCCAGGGUGUACGAGCUGCCUGACCUUGGGGCAGUCACUAACCCUCUCUGUGCCAGUUUCCUCUGGUGUAAAGGAGAGGCGGGCACCGUCCCAGCCUUGUGGGACUGUCUCAGGGGUCCAGGCCGCACGAGAGCCCGCCGUCUCACAGCACGUCUUGUGUUGCAGCCUCUGUGACCAGCCCCAGCAUCUUCCCGCUGAGCCUCCAGAAAGCUGACUCAGGUGACCCUGUGGUCAUCGCCUGCCUGAUCACAGGGCUUCUUCCCGCUGGGCUUCCCAGAGCCCGUGAAGGUGACCUGGGGCAAGAGCGGGGAGGUCAGGAACUACCCCCCCUUGGAGGCCGGGGGCCUGUACACCGUGAUCAGCCAGCUGUCCCUGUCCGGCCAACCAGUGCCCAGAUGACGCAUCCGUGAAGUGUGAAGUACAGCAUUACACCAGCCCCAGCAAGUCUGUGGACGUGCCCUGCAUAGCUCCAGUACGCCCUCCACUCCCUCCAUGCCCCUGUGAGUGCCCCUUGUGUCCAGCCUGCCGCGCCUGUCCCUGAGCCCGCCGGCCAUCGAGGACCUGCUCCUGAGCUCCAAUGCCAGCCUCACCUGCACACUGAGAGGCCUGAGAGACCCCAAGGGCGCCGCCUUCACCUGGAGUCCCCUCGAGUGGGAACGUCCCUGUCCUGCAGGAACCCAAGCUUGAACCCAGCGGCUGCUACAGCGUGUCCAGCGUGCUGCCAGGCUGCGCCGAGCCGUGGAGCAAAAAGGAGACCUUCUCCUGCACCGCCAGCCACCCUGAGCUCAAAGAGUCACAAACUGUCUCCAUCACCAAACCCACAGAACCCUUGUUCCAGCCCCAGGUCCACGUGCUGCCGCCGCCGUCGGAGGAGCUGGCCCUCAACGAGCUGGUGACGCUCACGUGCCUGGUGCGGGGCUUCAGCCCUAAGGAGGUGUUGGUGCUCUGGCUGCAAGGGCACGAGAAGCUGCCCCGCGAGAAGUACCUGGUCUUUAAGCCCCUGCGGGAACCUGGCCAGAGCGUGCCCACCUUUGCCGUGACCAGCCUGCUGCGCGUGGAGGCUGAGGCCUGGAAGAGGGGAGACGUCUUCUCCUGCAUGGUGGGCCACGAGGCUCUGCCCCUGAGCUUCACCCAGAAGUCUAUCGACCGCCUGUCGGGUAAACCCACCCACGUCAACGUGUCCGUGGUCAUGGCGGAGGCGGACGGCACCUGCUACUGAGCUGCCCCCGCCUGACCCUUGAAUAAACUCUAUGCUCGCCCAAAGCAGCCCGCGCUUCCAUCUGGCCGCCUGUCUGUCUGUCCUCGGGGUCUGCGGCAUGCCAGGGAGGUGGCAGGGCCCAGGGAGGAAAGAACACCCCGCUGCCCUGACCCUCUCAGGACCUCAGUUUCCCCUGUUGGCCUGGCACCUCGACGUACCUUCACACGGUGUACUUGUGUGAGUGUGUAAGCAUGAGUGUGAGCACGUAAUGCAUGGUAGUUGAAGCUGAGCUGGGGGUGAAACCUGAAGAUGGCAGAGGCAGGCGAGGCUGUCCGAGCCCGUGGGUCCUAAGAGCAGUGGGCACCAUGGGAAGUUCCCAUGGGCAGGUGACGUGGUCCUUCAUAUCUCAGAAAACUGACUCUAGGGGCAGGUGGGAGGGACUAGAAAGGGGGAAAGGAGAGCAGGCUGGCUGGGAAGAGGCUGGUGCCAUCGUGGGAGUCAUGGGAGGGAUGGUAAGGGAAGGAGGGCUGGACUUCAGGGCCCCUGCACCGCCCCUCAUGAGUACAAGGUGCAAAAGAGCAGGACGGCCCCACUGACUCACACAUAAGGGGCACCACCCCCGUCCUGGGCACAGCCUUCCCCAUUCGCAUCACACCACUCUGCAUGUGUGCCCACAGGUGCAUACACACAUGCACACAUAUGCUCCCACGUGCUCACACUCACUAGUGCACACACACAUCAGGGCCCUGCAGGCACAGGAAGUUCACAGCGCAGGCCCAGCUCCAGGAAGGCAAGGGGAGUCCCCACCCAAGCCCCCACUGGUUUUUCUCCAGGCCCAGCGCUGCUGCCCCAUGCCCCUCCUGGCCUCGGGCCUCCCUGUGUGUCCAGCUGAGCACAGCUCAGGGAUCAAUUCCACAGGCCCCUCCCAAGCAGUCCCUGCUCCCUGCCUGGUCCCCAGGCUCAAGUCUCACCUCCCUUCCUGAGCCCAAGUAUGGCCCAAACCAUAGACAGAGCAGGGACAGAGGUGGGGAGGUGUCAGAAAAGACACCUCCCACCCAGGGCCCCGCUGCAGCUUCUGCUUGGGGCUCCUGGCAGGAGAGGAGGAGGCCAGGGGAGACGAGCAUAGAGAGGCAGCCCCGUGACCGCCGUGGGGACACCUGGCACCAGGGCUCCCACAAGGGGGCAGCGGGGCCCCUGCUCUUGGCUCAGACCUUCUGGGCCUCCCCAGGGAACCCAGCCUUCUGGCUGCCUCCCUCUGCUCCCAAGGCCUGGGUGAGAUGGAGAUCCCUCUCCACCCUGGCCACUGCUCCCCUCUCAGGUCCAGUCACCAAAGGGCAAUAGAGGGAGCAAUGGGGUAAUUGGAGAAGAGCUGCCAUAGAGCAGGUGCUCCAGACACUAAGGGACCCAGAACCUGCACAAAGGAGGAGCUUUCUAAAGAGACAAGGAAGGCAGAAGAAUCAAUAGAUGAGGGACUGAGCCAACAGAUGGACAGCAGGCAGACAGGUGGAUGGAUCAUAGGAUAUAUAACAGAUGGGAAGAUGGGCAGACAGGUGGAUGGAUGGAUGGUCGGGUGGAUGGAUGGAUGGAUGGAUGGAUGGACGGGUGGAUGGAUAGACAGAGGGAAGGAUGGAUAGAUGGAUGGAUGGUUGGAUAGAUGGAUGGAUGAACAGGUGGAUGGAUGGACAGAUGGAAGGAUGGACGGAUGGAUGGACGGAUGGAUGGAUGGAUGGGUGGGUGGGUGGGUGGGUGGAUGGAUGGAUGGGUGGGUGGGUGGAUGGGUGGAUGGAUGGAUGGGUGGGUGGAUGGGUAGACAGAUGGAUGGACUGAUGGACGGAUGGAAGGAUAGAUGGAGGGAUGGAUGGAUGGGCAAAUGGAUGAAUGAUUGGAUGUGUCAGCAUAUGACAAGCAGGUCCAAAUCCCACUGUAACAUGGGAGGUCUAUGCCCUGGGACCCUGAGGACAGCAGGACUGCCUGUGCUGGUGGCCUUCACCUGGGCCUCCCUUAUACUCCUUGUAGCUUAUCAGCUACAUUCCCUGGGAGAGAAGAGAGGACCCUGGUCAUGCCCAUCCAGCAUUUGGCACACUGAAUCACAGACCCAGAUCUAUGGCCCAACUCAGAGCAACCAUGGGUAUGGGCAUAUCUGUUCCUCUCUGGCCCCACUCAGGGCCCAGGCCAAGGCCAGCCAAAGAGCAAGGGCUUGCUGAGAAUACAGAUAGGGCUGGGGAUCCAGGAGGCCUUGGGCUUGAGCUCUCUUUGGAGUAGCAAAGACAGUGCCCACCCUUCUGCCCUGCCAGGUAUCUCCCCAGAAGUUGCCCUGAGACCCUCAGAAACAGGGGUUCUGUGGGCAUCUCAAGAGCUGCAAAGGUUGCAGCCACCUCGCCCUCCCUGAGGAAGCCUCAGACCUGAGAUAGGGCACCCCUACUGCCUCUGUCCUGACCCCAAGUGUGCUGAGAGGGGAGAGCAUUGGCUUGGCCCCCACCCAUGCAGGCGCAGGCCUGACAGGCUCUCAGUGUCUUGCAGGUUACCGGGAGCCACCUCCCUGGGUGGUGCUGGACCCGCCACAGGAGGACCUGGAGGAGGACACCCCAGGAGCCAGCCUGUGGCCCACCACAGUCACCCUGCUCACUCUCUUCCUGCUGAGCCUCUUCUACAGCACGGCACUGACCGUGACCAGCAUCCGGGCCCCACCUGGUGGCAAAGAGGGCCCCCAGUACUGAGAAGGAGCCAGCCAAGCAAAGGGAGGAGCCUGGAGGAGCCCCCUGGAAGCCAAGCUGGAUGCCAGAGCUCAGCCCUGCUUGGAAGCCACCCGACUCUCCCACACAGGCCUUCCUGGUGCAAUAAACUGAUCCCCAAGGAA